UGUAAGGGACAGAGGGCUGUACAAUUUGGAAACUGAAGAAGUGAAGCCUUCCACUUGUUGACACACUGCAUCAUGGGGUGCUGCCAGUGUUCUUAGAGAAGUUUGUAUUUCAGAGAGAAGCACAUUGACUGGUUUAAAAAUCUAGCCAAGUAGCUAAGUCAGCUAUGAUUUCUUUGAAAUGGUGCUCAGAUAAAAUAUUAGAAAAUAUUCUUUACUGUAUUAAUCCAGACUUCAAAUAUAGUGUUAACCAAAACUCUGUGUAUGUGUGUAUAACCAAGAACUGCUUAGCAGUAAAUAAUGCAGAGUGUUUGGUACUGUUUGGACUGAUUUUUCUUCUUUGCUUUCCUUCUUUCUAUUUAAGCCUGAGAGGUUUCCUGAGGAAUGAUCAGGAUGACCACUCUGUAGCUUGAUUCCACAGAUGAAAUUAGCACAAGUUCCUUCUGCCUCUACUUUUUAUCCUAUUUAUCCUCAGGUUCUUUAAAACUGUCACCUAUUUAAAGAAAAGCUUGUAGCAUCUUAGGUAGCAGAAAUAUUGUAAUAUCAAGAUAAUAUUAAAUCUUGGAAUUUCUAUGCAUUUUUGACAGCGUUGCUUGCAUUUCAUAUAGGCAUGUCUAAGCUUUUCAUCAUCUUGCUAGUUCAAAUUCUGUAUCAAUAUUCUGAUGCUGAAUCCUAGAAUAAACAGUAUGGAAAAAUAUGGGACAUGGCACUACUCUUAAGAAUAAAUUAUUAACCUAGUUUUAGGAUUCUGUGUAACUAGUGGAUUGAUAUCAAUUCAUUUAUUUAUAGUCCAACGGCUACAUGCUAUAAUAUAGAUGGACUAUAUAGCUUCCUAGGCAGAUAAAAUUUCACAGGUGUAUUUAGUUGCUAAUUUUAGUUGCCAGAUGUCAGUAUUCCUCAUUUACAGAUUCAGGAAUGUGUUCACAAGUGCUGUGAACCUAAAUUUGAGCCACUAAGCCAGAAAGAACUUUGUGGAUCUAGGUUUCUUCCAUUAAGUGGGGAGCUGGAUGGUCUAUAGGACCACAGUCCUCUGUUCUGUGGCCACUGCUUCUGUUUACUUCUGCCUGAAUCUAACCUGCUGGUGGAACAGGUUUUAUAGAAUCAAUUCUUGGAACCUACAGGGGCAAACUGUGUUCAGUGUCACUUUUCUCCCUUUAGAUUCUAUAAGGAGCAGUCUGGAAAGGAGAGCUUGUCUGUGUACUUAGGUACAAUGUUUUCUCAAACAGCCCAUUUAUAUAUAUUAUGAAGAGGCUCUUUAUUGCUCAGCUUGAUUUACCAGGGGAGAAGGGCAGCUGUCUAGCAGUUGCUUAAGACUUUUCCCCAUCCUGGGCAGGGUUUUUAGAGAAGUUGAAUUCCAUUCUUGAAGUCUGCAUCUUCACCUCCUCCUUUCAUGCUUUUGACAAACAUAAUGAAGGAAAAAUAUUUACCUUCAGUGGCCCAUAUUGGUCACAUGGCCCAUUUAAGAUGGGCUUUAAAAGGUAGAUAAUCUGCAGGCUGAAUGUUCCUUCCUCCAUCACUGAGAUCACAUUGCCUUCUGGUAGCAAAAUGAUCAAAUUACAGUGACAAAGUUAUUUCUUCCUUUAAAAUGAAAAUGGGAUAGGGAAGCUCACUUCCAUUCUUAAGGCUACCCCAAACCCUUAAAAAGCCGGCCAAAAUCAUAAGCGGGGGAUGCAAAGUUUGCAGCUUCCCCAAAUAUUGCCCACCUCUGCUUUCAAAACGGCAUCAAAGAAUCACAGGGAUAGAUAACAUUUAAUGAUUAAUAAUACCUUUAAAAUCUGAGCUGUCUUUUAUGAAGGCAGCUCAAAGUUGAUGAACAAUCAGUCUAUAUAAACAGCUUUUGAUUUUAAGUAUCUAACUCCCUUUGGGAUUAUUUAAUGAUGGAAAUUUAGGCUAGAAAUUUUAUAAAGAAAGUAGUAAGACAUAGUUUGCUUAGAUUAAAGGUAAUUAACAAUAUUUGGAAUGCCAGUUUGAUACUAUUUAAAAUUGAUAGAUCAUAUAGAUAAAGCAUUGUUUACUAAAAUGUUUAACAGCUAAACCAUUUAAAUAAUAAAUAGUUCUGGAAUGACCUUCUGAAUUUAUUUCUACAUGCUUCAGAGAGGUAGCCUGAUUGAAAGAGAUACAUAUUUAACUCUAGAAUAGGUCGUAAUUUAAACUAUAACAGGGUCCUGGUUUUUCCUGGGAACUGGAGUUUGCAGCUCCACAGGGAAAACCAAUUGAUUUGUGACAAUCGGAGAUAGUUACCAAGGGUGCAUAGCUGAAGUAUCCUUCAGCUCAUAUUUGUGUAGAGCAGUGUUGUUGCAAGGUUACAACUUUUGGUGUAUUUCUGAUUCAAUAAACAAAGAUGUUGUCUUUAGAUAUCUUGUCAGCUUAAAUAUCCAUCUGCCUAAUUCAGGACUUAAUACACUGAGGUAUUCAAUACCAACUGAGUUUGUAGCCACUGCCAUCCUCUUAGAAUAGAAAAUGCUUCACAUCAGUGAAACAGCUGAUGGCAGUAGAUUCAUUUUUUGAUACAGCCUAAAGGUUGGAUUUUAAACCAUUUUCUAUCACUAUGACUGAGAGGAUUUAGUCCUAAAUAACAGAUAAAUGAAAGGGGACUACUGCCAUUGAUCAAGUUUGCUAUGGACAUACUAGGACUUAAAUAAAACAGUUUUAACUGACCAGUUCUGUUGAGGUUUAAAAGGCUCAGGACUUAAUCCUGGAAGGUGUAAAGCAUGCCCAACUAAAAUCUGGGUUUAUUAAGGGCUGCAGCUUGAAGUCUGGGAAAACAAAUAUGCUGUUUCAGAUAUUAGAUUUGGCUUACAAAUUUCAACAUCUUUUAGGAGGAAAUGAUUAAAAGAGGCCACAAUCCAGCACAGAAUCCGUGUGCUUAAGAAUGUCCCCUUAUGUAUUGGAAAGUGUUGGAAGUGUAUUAGGCUUCUCAUUUACAAGCAGGUAUCAACAUAAAUCUAGUUAUGUUGCUGAAUAAUCAUUGUUUUAAUAAAUACAUUACAAGUCCACUGAUCAUAAUGCAGAGUUGCUGGCAUCUUUCUAUGCACUCAAAGAAAUAUUUUUAUAUUGUAUAACUUCUGCAGUUAUAACAGAUGAUUUUAUUAGCUUUGCUAACCAAAUAUUAAUCUAACCUAUUGAGUAGUUCUUGCUUGACAUCAGUGGAUAUAAAGGAUUCAGGACUUCCUGCAUUGUUACAUAAAUAACUUGGUUAAAAUAAAGAAUUACCUACAUGUUUUAGGUCUAAUAUUAUUUCUUAUGGAUUGUAUCCUUUUUAUAGUUAAUAAAACGUUAUUGUCCAUAAAA